AGCGUCAGAAAUGACUUUUGAUAGAAGAGUGUUUAGAAUAAAUAAUCUUAACCAAGUUGUAGUAUAUGUCACAAGGUUUCCGUGCAUAUAAAGAACGCUGAAAUCCGAGUUAUAACGAAGAAGUUGUGACCUGUUGAUGUUUCGUGAUAGAACCGGUACGAAACUGCAUGACAUAAAUAUUAAGUUUAUGAUAGAGCGAUAUUUAGCCUUAGUGAUCUAAACAAAAGUCAUAGAAUACAUUAAACCGAGAGCGUGCAUAAAAAGAACGUCUAACUCUGACUUCGUAUGAGGAAGUUUCGACUUAGCGAUAUGCAGCCCAAAGUUCGAAUAUAAGAUCGAGUGGUUUCUAGCCGAAACAAUCUAAACGAGAAUCGAAGAUCUCGUUGAUAGUAGUCCAACGGUAAAAAGAAAAAGUCUAAACGAGAGUUGCAGAGCAUAAUCUCACCUUCGCAUGGAUAUAAAGAACGUCGAAAACGGAGCUCGUAUGCGAAAGAUAUGAAUUUCUAAAAUACGAGGCACGCAUACCAAAGGGGGAACGCCCUGCGUUCAAAUGGGGAAUGUCCCGCGUUCGAAGCCCAGAGCAUGUCCCGUCGCAUGUCAAGUCCGAAGUUCAUAAGCCAUGACGCACGGCGGCAUGCGCUGCGUUCGUCCAAGGAAAGCGCUGCGUUCGGAGGCCAUACCCCUCCUAUAAAUAGGAUGUGAGUCCAGUCAAAUUGGUUGCUCUUUUCUUUCCUUUCACUCCCUUAAAAUUUCUUUUACUUGGCAAGUUAUACCCCCGAAGCCCCUGUAUCAUCCCGACCCCCGAAGAUCCCAAGAAAAAGAGUUUUCGAGCCGAAACUCUGUCCGCGAGAAGCCCGAUUUUUGAGAGAACAUCCCGGUUUCAUCGGAAACGAUUGUUUUAAGAGACAAGGUGUUGUCCGAUAAUCAUCUUAUCAAGUGAGUAUGUAGUUACUUUCUUCUAACACAUACAUAUGAAGUAUUUGCUAAGAAAUACGUGUUAUGUGGUUAUAUAUUGUUUGUUUAUUUGAGAUGGAUGUUGGUUGAAUGUUUUAUAUAGGUUUGUAUAUGAUUUAAACUAUAUAUGUAAUUUAUAUCUACAAAUAUGUUGGAUAAAACAUGGGUAGAUGAAAUAGUUGGUGUGUGAUGAAAGAUUAGUUUGAGGAUGAGACAAAAGAUGAUAUAGAUCAUGAGGUGAGGGUGACAGGUGAAAAAUGAGUGAAACCUGUACCCAAACGAUGGCCCCCGUCAUUCAGCAGAGUAGGGAUGACAACCAUAGACUAUUCUAGACAGUCCUGUGGAACACUAGCAAGCUCGCAACUUGUAGGUGUUGUGUACUUGAUGUUCAUCGGUGUACUCUAAAAACCCUGGCAGCUAUUGUCUUAGUUCCUAAUGAAGAAUCCUGACAACUAUUGUCUUAGUUCUUAAUAAAGAACACUAGCAGGUAUUGUCUUAGUGCCUAAUGAAGAACCUUGGUAGCUAUGGAUUUAGUACUACAAAGAUGAACCUUGGUAGCUAUGGAUUUAGUGCUUGAUGUAUGAACCUCGGGCAGUAAUGGACUUCAUGCCUAUUCCUUAGGUCGGUCCUUAUGAAUGACAGAUGAAGGAUAGAUGAUUCUUAGGGUAGAUCCUUAAGAGUAAAGAAGAUAACGGGGAAUGAGUAAUUGGGUUGAUUGUUUAAUGAUUAAAUUUUAUAAUUAAAUUAUUGUGGGUUGAAAACCCUAUAUGCUCACCAGGCUCCCAAGCCUGACCUACUCAGUUUUCUUUGCAUUAUAGGUAAUGGCGCCAGAGUAUAAGUUGGUGGACUUGAAAAUAGAUUUUGGAUUAUAGAUAUGUAGUUAUAAAUAACUGUUGCAAGGUCUGGUUUAUAUUGUUUAUGCUUUUGGUCUGUAUCGGAACAUGACAUCCCGAGAUUUUGUUAUUUAAUGAAAAUAUAUUUCUUUAAAUAAAUGCUUUGAUAAAUUCUUAUCAUAUUUUGUUAUGGGAACAAAUUCUGCAACUCUUUUAAUCAAAGGAUUACUCUGAUUUUAUAAAACAAAGCAUAAACAAAUCGAUCUUUUCUGGCCGUGAAAAUGGGGAUGUCACAGUUGGUAUCAGAGCAUUAGUUUAAGCGAACUAGGAAUUUGUAGGAUUUCUAGACUUAAACUUAGAAUGCCAAGCGAUGAUUUUGAGAUGAGUGUCUACCAUAUUUUAAGACGCGAGCACUAGUAUAUUUUAGGAAAGAUGCCUAAAAUGCUUUUAUGUGCUAAAUGCUAUAUGUUUGCCAUAUAUGAAAUUGUUUUUUUGGAUCUAUGGUCAGUUGUCGACCGGAUCUGGAAACCUUAUGUGUUUAGGAUUGUAAGCGUACGACUAUGAUAUUAAAACUAGCAUGCAAACGUUUCGAAGUGAUAAGGUGAUUUAUACGUCUAUCGUAAAUAAAGCUUUCUUAUCUUAAAUUCUUGCCCUGUACACCGAACGUCUGCUUGGAUAUACAAAACGUUAUAGUGAAGACUCUUAGAGAAUUGAUUAAAUGGAGGAAAUGAAAGGCUUAUGAUAGUGAAUGACACCUAUCGAAAGAUAUCGUAAGAGUGGUAUCUUGCCUUUAGAAUAUGUCUGAUAAAAUAACGAAACGUUUAGAGGAGUACGGUACGUUUGAGGUACACCUUCGAUUGGCAGGAUGAUGGAACGAUUGGUGUAAUUCAUGAAGUUUUUCCAUCGUCUAGAAUUUCCAUCACCAACCGAGUAGAAGUAGAAUUGAUGAGUGAAGAUGCGGAUGAAAGAAGUCCUAGUAAAGUCUAGGAAAAUUUGUAUGAUUAAUUGGACACAUUUGUAUGUGUUAAAUUUUUUUGUGAUUUUAGGACUUGGGGACUACGAGACAAUACUUAGGACAAGUAGGAGUAGGUGUGAAUAGUAGUAGAGAUAUAUACUACUAGAAGCACAUGACUCACGCUUGGAUCAGGGAAAGUCACAAAGUUACCAAGAAGCUAGUGAUUGGUCUCGUUUUAUUCAAGUAUGUCGUUACCAUUGUUUUGGUAAUUACUAAUGAGAUGAUUGUUAUUCCGAACCAAGUGGUCAUUUCAAAUGAGAUCGACUACGAUGAGUUUGUUACGUGGUUCAAAGAACCAAGUUCGAUGUAACAUCUGGCGUAAGACGGAAGAUUCAAAUCAAUGCAAUCAAUAGCAUUGCGCUCGUUGUUAAAGAAGAUUGUAGCUAGAAAUGCUACAUGAUAAAAUGUGAUUAUAUCAGAUUAUAACAUGAAGGAAGAUAUAUUCCAUUCUAGAAUUUGACUCUAAGAGACUUGAGUCUAGGCGUUGCAUCAUACGAUGAGAGGUCAUUAGAACAUGACCCAUCGAUCUGUUACAAUAGAUAAAGGAAAGUACUUAUCCUAAGAAGAAGAAGCAGUCCUCAAUAAGGAUUUAUUUUGUAACUCGUAGGUUGCGAUUGAAAGUCCAACAUAGUACGAAGAGCAGAUGCAAGAUUGAGCAUCGCCUGCGGUCAAGAUGUCCAAGAGUUAGAUACUCAUUCAAAGAAACAUAGAAGUUACGAUUAUUACCUAUGAUUAAAAGAUGUAACGUAUGGAAUCAUUAUACAAUUCCUAUUUUCUUUGAUGAUUCCGGGACGUAAUCAUCCUAAGGGGGAGACAAUUGUAACGCCCGUAGAUCUGGGCUAGUCAAUUUAGAGAUGAUAAGCGUCAGAAAUGACUUUUGAUAGAAGAGUGUUUAGAAUAAAUAAUCUUAACCAAGUUGUAGUAUAUGUCACAAGGUUUCCGUGCAUAUAAAGAACGCUGAAAUCCGAGUUAUAACGAAGAAGUUGUGACCUGUUGAUGUUUCGUGAUAGAACCGGUACGAAACUGCAUGACAUAAAUAUUAAGUUUAUGAUAGAGCGAUAUUUAGCCUUAGUGAUCUAAACAAAAGUCAUAGAAUACAUUAAACCGAGAGCGUGCAUAAAAAGAACGUCUAACUCUGACUU
rnacentral:lncRNA from 1 species